AUACAACCUGGUUUCCUAGCGUCUUUUUUUUUGUAGAUUCUCCUAUGUCUAAUAAGGCUUGGACUUCCUAGUCUCUCAGAGGAAUCACUGAUAGCCUGAAGACUAUGAUGUGACAGUGACGAAAGACUGCAAUAAAAGGCAGCUGAAACUUUUUGGGCAGAGGUUUCCACUUUCACAAGGCAACAGUGCAUAUGCUUGAUACAAAACCAGUGGGACUCAUUUAGUGACUUGUAACCUGGCAAUGAUUCCUCUGAAGCAUACCUGUGGUGCCCACAUGUGGAGUUUUGCCACUGAUUUCAAUAAGGAGAAAGAAGAGGGUUUACAGUGCUCCACUGGGGAAAAGGGCUUUUG
rnacentral:lncRNA from 1 species